CCUACGUGUGGCAGCAGUAGGGAAUAUUGCUCAAUGGGGGAAACCCUGAAGCAGCAACGCCGCGUGGAGGAUGAAGGUUUUCGGAUUGUAAACUCCUUUUGUUAGAGAAGAUAAUUACGGUAUCUACAGACUACUCACCGGCUACCUCCGUGCCAGCCGCCGCGGUCAUACGGAGGGUGCAAGCGUUACUCGGAAUCACUGGACUUAAAGUGCGCGUAGGCGGGAUAGCAAGUCAGAUGUGAAAUCCUAUGGCUUAACCAUAGAACUGCAUUUGAAAUUGUUAUUCUAGAGUAUGGGAGAGGUAGGUGGAAUUCUUGGUGUAGGGGUAAAAUCCGUAGAGAUCAAGAGGAAUACUCAUUGCGAAGGCGACCUGCUAGAACAUAACUGACGCUGAUGCGCGAAAGCGUGGGGAGCAAACAGGAUUAGAUACCCGGGUAGUC
rnacentral:rRNA from 1 species